CUUCUUCUUCUUCUUCUGCUCGCGAGACACUCGCUGCCUCUCCUCCAAUCUCCAGCUUCCGACCACCAAAUCCGGCGAGCCUUGAUACCAAAUCGUAGAGUACAUUGAGAGGAAGCUAUCUGUAGGUUUGCUUUGUGGAGAUGGCACCCGAAAUUAGAGAGAAUGCGACUGGGAAAUGGGACGCCGCGCGAUGAACUUCUCCGCCGACUUUCGCCGUCUCCGGUGGAUUCAGUCAGCUGGAGGACCUUCGAUCGACUCCUUCUGGUCAAGCGAGUGUUUCCCAUCUUUUGGUUUCGAUGAUGGGGCUCCGGUGGUGAAACCACCAUUGAUGGUGGCAUGCAGCUUCGGUCUGCGAGGUUUAGGCCAAAUCGGGCAUAGACUCAACAAUUGGAGCAUGGAUUUGAAUUCUUGAUGGAAUUUCGAUGCUAGGGGCGCAUGAAUUGUGAAAUUCUGGGUAAAAUCGAUUUUCCGGCCAUCGUGGACGGCGGUCCGGUGACUGGCCGGCGACACUCCGGCGAGGCUCGGAGAGACAAAAUUCUCUUCUCUUCGCGCUGAUCAUGGAAUCGUCGCCCGAUUCUCAAUUGAGUUGGGAUGAAGUGGGUCACCAUGGGUUUGUGAUGACGGUCUAUGAAAUAUGAAAAUUAUGGAAUUUGACCGUCGGCCGGGUAAAUGGGAGAUCGGCGGCCCCGUGUGCACUUGAUGAUACAGAUUAUAUAGAAACCACAGGGUGGCUUCUUAUUGGGUGCACCUGAUAAUCUGGAUUUGAUGGUAGCCCGCAGGAUGGCCACCUGUUGUGUGCGCCUGAUGAUCUAGAUUUGACGGAGACGACCGGGUUGUCUCAUGUUGGUACGGAAAAGAAAAGAGAGAAUGGAAAAACAAUGAGAGGGUUGGUCAAGUCAGGAUUAGACUGGUCGGCCAUGUAUGGAGGAUCGGCUCCCUGGUGCACACGUUAUGAGAAGAUGGGCCAUGUGUGAGGACGGCUCAUUAGGGGUUUAGGUGACGCCACAGACCAAUUUUCCACGUGAUGUGAUUAUGUGAAGAUGUUAAUAAUUGUGAUUGUUGGUGAUAUGCCAUUUGUGUAACUAGCUGUGUGAGCAUAUAACUAGUCAGAUGACUAGAUUGAUAUAUUUACACAUUUGUGUGAAUGUGUGUGUUUUGCAAUAAGUAUUACUUCUUAGAAGGCUCA